rnacentral:sRNA from 12 species
AUCGAAGUACGGCGGGCGCGCCGUACAUACAGCCGCCAUGGCAUCUGCGGAUAUAGCCGGAAUACAGGAUGACCGAUCCGUAAGCCGCAGAGUAAGUCCCCCAG